GAACCUUGUAGAGAUACGAGGGUGCCUUCGGGAACUGUGAGACAGGUGCUGCAUGGCUGUCGUCAGCUCGUGUUGUGAAAUGUUGGGUUAAGUCCCGCAACGAGCGCAACCCUUAUCCUUUGUUGCCAGCGAUUAGGUCGGGAACUCAAAGGAGACUGCCAGUGAUAAACUGGAGGAAGGUGGGGAUGACGUCAAGUCAUCAUGGCCCUUACGACCAGGGCUACACACGUGCUACAAUGGCGCAUACAAAGAGAAGCGACCUCGCGAGAGCAAGCGGACCUCAUAAAGUGCGUCGUAGUCCGGAUUGGAGUCUGCAACUCGACUCCAUGAAGUCGGAAUCGCUAGUAAUCGUGGAUCAGAAUGCCACGGUGAAUACGUUCCCGGGCCUUGUACACACCGCCCGUCACACCAUGGGAGUGGGUUGCAAAAGAAGUAGGUAGCUUAACCUU
rnacentral:rRNA from 1 species